CUCUAACAAUGAACUAAAAUAAACAAAUAAAGGCAUACAUAUAUAUAUAGACAUAAGGUAAUAAUGCUUAGUGAUAAUGAAUUAGAAACAUUAACAUGUUCAUAACAUAUACAACUGUCAAAUAGUGUAAUUAAUGAGAGCAUUGCAACUUCAUUCAUUUAUUUAAAUUGAGGUUUCAUAUUCAAAUGUGAUGUGCUACAAAAGGUGGACAAAUGGUUGCAGAAAAUUCAACAUGUGCCAUACUGAUAGAGAAAGAUAAACAAGAAAGUUUUAUACUUUGUUGUGCUAUAUAAAUAUAUAAGAAGAUGUGGUAUAUGUGCCAAUAAGACAACUCUCCAUCCAAGUCACAACUUGGAAAUGGAAAGACCUUCAGCAAUUUUCUAACAAAUGCCAAACAAAAAAUUGCAUUAAAAUCAGAUCUGUAUUUUAAAAGAUAUUCAUAAGUCCAUCUUAGAAUCUGUUUUACAUAUAAAUGCAAGCAAUGUUAAAUCAAUGUCAAAUUUGUUGCUUUACAACAUAUAGGGAUUUUAUAGAGAAAGCAACUAAAAAGUCUAUGCUGGGCACAGAAUUACAACACAACAUUGAUAAAAUUUCAUAAAUUCAUGUAAAUCAAACCCAAUUGUUUUGUCUAAAACGCUCAUCGGCUAAACAUGACAAACUGUGGACCAAAUAUAAGUGCAAAUAUUGGUUCUGUUUAUCAUUUAAAGCUUGACAAUAGUAGGUGUUCUACAGAAUCACUUAGUAAAUACUUCAACUCUUAAGAGAAACCUGAGGGAAAAUAAUUGUUGAAAACAUAUCGAAAAUCAAAUUAACAAACAAAAUACCUUUUUAGCAUUUGGUCAAUUUUAAUGUUAAAAUAUAUCAACAUAUCUUAUUACAGGUUUUUAUAGAAAAUUAUGCUGCUUUAAAAUUUGUAGGAACUUUUAUGUGUCCCAAUUAUAUUUUUUUUUAGAAAUGGGUAGUGCCACUGAACACAAAGUUAAAAGUUAACACGGAUUGAUCAACUAUAUCUAAAGUUAUUUUAAGGAACAAAAUACUGUUAGAAAUCAAAAUAGAGAGCAAUGACUAAAUUUUCCCAUAAAUUUAGGGCCAUAUAAAAGCUGCACUGCAUGAAGUUCAGAAGAACCUAUAAUGUUGUGUAAAUAACUAAUUGACAACAUUUGCCUGGUUCAUUAUGAAGUUUUUUCAAGAAUGGUGUGGUUAGAGUGAUGCUGGAAUCACAAGUUUGUCAAGGAACAUGGUUUUAAAGUUUGAUAAGGACUUGUGAACUGGAGCAAAAUUUAUUGAACAAAAAACAUUGUGGUUAAUAACAGAGAAUGAAAAUACACUUGUAACUUUAUAUGACUGAAAAUUGAACUAUGGAAAAAAACCCAUUAAAAACUGACAAAAUUUGCAAAUUCUGUCAGUAAUAAGUAUAAGCAGACA
rnacentral:lncRNA from 1 species